AAAACAUUCUUAUGAGUUUAUAUAUAGCACCAAUUCUUUGAGCAGUAUUGUUUGGUAACAAUAAUAACAUUAUUGUUUUAGUUUCUCAAAAGCUCUCUUCAUAGCAGUAGUUGAAUUGUGGCAGACUAAAUGCCACAGUACAUUUCUAUGAGUUCUACCAUUUUAUUCUGCAUCCAUGGGCAUGGAAGUUGCAGGUGUUGGUUUCUCUUACCAAGUUUAAAUUGUUUCCUAGUAUCCAUGAGCAAAAAAAUGUUACUGCAUGAAGAGCACCUUGACAAAAAAUCCCAGCUGCAUACAAACUUCUACUAUCUGGACAGAGUUGGAAUCCUUCCACAUCUGCUGGAUUUGAAAUUGGCACAUGGUGUAUCUCUUAGAAAACCAAUAAGAGGCUCGUAAAGGAAUGAGGUAUAUCUUUCCAACUCAGAAUUUCCUUGUAAUUAGAAAUAUUUCAAGACCUCUUUUUUUUUUUCUAUUUCAGUAAUUUAGAAUGGAAAGACUCAUCAUAAGCAAAAGGAAAGUGACUUUCAAUCUACAUUUGAGACAUCAUUUAUCAUUAGGAACCAUGAGCAUGGGGCCAUUUUUUUUUUCCCCAGAUCUUUCAUAUCUUCUAUUUUUAAUUCAGUUUUGUAUUACAUUUUUGGAUGAUAAAGUGUUCAAUUCACUGCUUAGGGAUUGUUCGCAAGCUCUUUAGUAUAAACCACAUCCAUACAAUAUUGAAGGAUCUGACUUAAAUUAAAUCUACAGAAGAAGGAAAAUCCAGAGUUCUCUAUUUUUAUGAGUGUAUCAUUCAUCUUCAUCUGUCAUUUCAGUGUCUCCCUAUACAAUAAGACUGUGUGUUGUCCUGUCCAUUCUAAAUUGCUUAGAUAUCUCUGAAAAGACAGGUUAAAAAAAAAAUCAGAAAUGGAGAGUAUUUUGUCAUCAGCAUCCCAGAGCCCAGAAUUUAGGUUUUAGUGCAAGGACUGCUACUUGUAUAGGAACGUCUGCUCUGUCACUGCUUUAAAUACCAAAUAUAGGAGGCUAUGGAAAUGACACUCACCUUAGUUAUGCAAGUGUUAAUCAAAACUGAACUUUAUGUAUAUAAAUGGAGGUACAGCAAUGUUAAUCAGCUGCAAGAUGAGAACUUGGUUCAUUAAGUGCUAAGGGGGUGACUUCCACCAAUUUCCCAGACACUGCAUUUUCCUGUGUCUCUGCAGGGUGAAUGGGAAGCAGUAAAUAACAGAAGAGGAUAUGAUGAAGUAGCAAGGGGAGGUCAACUGUGAACUUCCACGAGUUGUUCUCCUGCUAUUCACUGGUUUCUCCUGCAGUUGGUUUGCCAGCUCACAGAAUGUCAAGCUGUUGCAAAACACACGUCUGUCAAUUCUUCAACAAAAGUUUAUUUUGUAUAUAAAUGCAGCCU
rnacentral:lncRNA from 1 species